UAAUGAUGAUGAUGAUGAUGCUGAUGAUGACGAUGAUGAUAUCAUUAUUAUGAUCAUGAUCAUCAUCAUUAUCAUCAUCAUCAUCAUCAUCAUCA
rnacentral:pre_miRNA from 1 species